rnacentral:tRNA from 1 species
GCCCCCAUAGCUUAAUGGUAAAGCGCACGCCUUAUAAGCGUGUGAUUCGAGUUCAACUCCCGAUGGGGGUA